GAUGAACGCUAGCGGCAGGCUUAACACGUGCAAGUCGAGGGGUAGAGGAAGCUUGCUUCCUUGAGACCGGCGCACGGGUGCGUAACGCGUAUACAAUCUACCUUUUACAGAGGGAUAGCCCAGAGAAAUUUGGAUUAAUACCUCAUAGUAUUUUCGGAAGGCAUCUUCUGAUUAUUAAAGUUCCAACGGUAAAAGAUGAGUAUGCGUCCCAUUAGCUAGAUGGUAAGGUAACGGCUUACCAUGGCUAUGAUGGGUAGGGGUCCUGAGAGGGAGAUCCCCCACACUGGUACUGAGACACGGACCAGACUCCUACGGGAGGCAGCAGUGAGGAAUAUUGGACAAUGGGCGCAAGCCUGAUCCAGCCAUGCCGCGUGCAGGAAGACGGUCCUAUGGAUUGUAAACUGCUUUUAUACAGGAAGAAACACACCCUCGUGAGGGUACUUGACGGUACUGUAUGAAUAAGCAUCGGCUAACUCCGUGCCAGCCGCCGCCGUAA
rnacentral:rRNA from 1 species